UACCCGUACGCGUCUGCCUCCUCGCAUCGCCUCGACCCUGGCCUCUGCCUAGGCCGAGCCAACCCUAGCUGCCGCCGCACCACUCGCCGCCGCGGCCGACCUCAACCCACCCGCCGCCCCCGCCGACGUCAACCCGCCCGCCGCCCCGUCCACACCUCUUCCUGCUCGCCACCCCCGCCGCGGCGCUCGAGCGCAGCUUCUGGAUCAGGUCAACGCGGCGGCUCGACAGGCUGGGGACGAUGCGUCUGCUCGAUGCAAAACGGCGGCGGCGGGAUCCAGCGGGCGCGGGAGAAGGAGAGAUCCGGCGCGGCGGCGCGAAGUCCAUGCAAGUGGAGGCGGGCCUCCAUGGCUGGCAGGGAGAGCUCCAAGGUCAUGGCGGUGAUUCGAUUUUUCUGGUAGAGAAGAGAGACAGAGGAGGAUCCAGGGUGGAGGAGAGGUAGGAGAAGAAGGACGAGGAAGAUGGAAGGGUGCGGCAGGGGUGCAGCGGUGCGAGGGCACUGGUGCGCGUGAGGAGCGCCUCUCCUCGGGAGGAUCAGGGAGGAGCGAGUGAAACUCAAAUCGACUUCAGAGCAAGGUACUGGUGUAGAACUACGAAGAAGCAAGCUGACCAGAUGCACACGUACUAGCCGGCAACAACGAUGAAGGAAGCCAACCAGAUGUGCACAAAACUACACUACAUCAUGCCUAAUUGAAUCCUCCGGUACGUGUUCCAUUGGCUAAUAGACCAUGCUAGCUAGCUAGCAACCAUGUAAAUUCCCCACGCUUGAUUGAUUCCUUUGGGACUUUAUUAACUUCUAUAUGUUCUUCCCAUGAUUAUCUAGAUAAUGCUAACUGUUGAUAUUUCUUUCACGCAUACAUGGUUUUGCUUGGAGUUUUUCCACUGGCGACGUCUGAACUCUGAAUAUAUGAACUUAAGGAUAAAUCUUAUAGCAGAUCAAAAUCAUGGUCCACGCAAAAAGAAGAGACCAGAAUCAUGGUUGUGCUGAUUCCAUAGGGGCCUCAUGAUGGUUUGUGUUCUUUUAUUCAAAUGAAAAAACCAAGAUUAUUAUUGUAACUGUUACAGUUGUACUAGCAGGAUUAUCCUAGAAGCUGUGCCAAUUUUCCAUCAAUUGAUAACACUGUAAGGUAGUGAGUCAUCUUUCUAGACUUUACCAUGCCUAGAUUGGUUGACUUGGAUCACGUGUAUGUCUUACACUUUUAGACAAUUCUCACUUGCUAUGCUAAGCUCGAAUUUGAAGAUACAAGUUGAGGUGUGUCUUGGGACAGUGUGACUAAAAACCGAACCUUCAGUUUAUGCAAUCAGAAGAAAAGUGAAUGAUUUUUCAAUGAAAACAGAAUACUUCUGAGCAUAAGGAUGAAAAAGUGCAGCAACCGACUUGGCUUAUUGUUUUGGAAAUUGCAACCGGUGUUCUCCUUCUUGUUUUUGUGAUCACUAGUGUUGUUACUGCCUCCAGAAGCUUCAAUCUAAAGCCUUCUAUAAGAAUAUCAUCAUGGAGUAGAUCAAAAAGUUGGAGCAACGAGAUAACAGUACUGAUUGAUUCUGAUAUGCUGAAAAGUUUGCCAGAGUUGAGUCACUAGGAACUUGAAGUAGUGUGUUAGGAUUUUAGCAACAUAAUUGGCUCAACUCUGGAGACUAUAGUCUACAAAGAAACAAUGAAGGAUGGACCUGAGGUUUCUGUCAUGUCAUUAUGCGCCUUUGAAGGUCAUUGGACUAGCCAGCAUGAGCUCUUUUACCAAAACAAGGUUAUUGAUCUGGCAAGGUUGAAUCAUGAGAACAUAGCAAAGUUUCUGGGUUAUUGCAGAGAGAGUGACCCAUUCUCGAGGAUGUUAAUCUUUGAGUAAAAAUCAAAUGGGACCCUGUACGAGCACCCACACUCGGCCCAAUUCUCUUGGCUCAGAUGAAUGAAAAUAGCCAUCGACAUCGCCCAAGGUUUAAGGCUGACGACGUCGUCUAUUGAAGCCCCACCGGCGACACGACGGGACAGCUCCGACUUGUACGUGGGUGUGGGAACGCAGAUCCGCGUUGCCAGCUUACACAAGGCCAUGCUCAACGCGCCGACGCAGGGUUUAUCGCCCGUCUUUGUCAGAUAAGCAAAGCAAUCCACCUUCCUCUUUCUCAUCAGAUCCAUUUUAUUGUGAUAUUGCAUUUAAGUCAAUCAAUUUUUAUGAUUCUUUCAGUGUUAAAGAAAAUGGAAUUUACCUGAAUAAAUUGCGUGUAUAGAUAUGUAGAGGAUGAACUCAACAAGUGGAUCUUUCAAGGUUAAUUAGCUUUGCACAUUUUAUAAAAUAGAUGCAAUGGCAUAGCACCUUCAGUAUCAUGCUUGCACUCACAUGUUGUUCCAACAGCACUAUGAAUGCUGCCCAGAAUUGCCAUGCCUUCAGCUUUCGCUAUAAGUUCCUAUGAUGCUCCUUUUCAGGUGACUUUUCAUGUGAUUUCGACUUCUAAAAAUUAGAAAGUACCUUCAGAUCAAAGCAGUGGAUUUGUAGAUUUUCUGGGUAUUGGUGCUACUCCAUCUCCAUUUGGCUUACGGUCUUUGGUCACUGAUUCUGAGUGAGCUCCAGAAAACACAACUGCAAGCUUUCAGGUCCUAAAUGAGAAGGUAAGGAUGUACUUGAGCAGUAUGAGAAGACCGAGUUCCAUUAUCUCAGAAGCCAGAAGUUUCCCAUUAAUCUUUGGUUCUAAAAUUUGUUUAAGAAAAUGGUCAUUCUGCUAUUAGCACCACGAUUAUGUGUCAAUUGUAGAUUCUUAAUUAGUUAGAAUUAUUUUAUAUGUUUGAUUCCUUUGGUUCAUAUUUAUUCAACAACAAAAUAUUUUCGAGAUUGGUCAAUUUGAGGAUCAAACUUCAAACAUGUGAAUUGAUGUGGCAUCAAGCUAAAUCUAUUGAUACAUAGCUAUCCUUUUUUGCUUUGC